CAGUAACAUGUCUACUCUGUUAUUAUUAUUAUUACUCAUUUUUUUGCUAAUUCUGUAUGCUAACAAAAAAAAUCCUACUUAAAUUUUUGUUGUUGAUUCUGCAAACAAUUUGAGCUGCUGCCAGCACAUGUCUACUUUUUUUUUCUCCAUCCUGCUCAGAGGUGUACCUAGGAUUUCUAUAUGUCCUUAGUUGUUAUCAGUGUUUCGUUUUCCUUAGUUUUUAAGGUUUAUGCUACCUGCCUUUUAGACGCAUGUUUUGAUUUAUAGUUUUCAAGGAAAACUGUUGUACAGAAACCUUGCUUACACCUCUGCCAGGUUACCAUGUGGGAGUGCUAGGCUAGCUAAUCUGUCCAUGGCAAGUUUUGGUUACAUUGUGUCACCAAAUUCAGCAUUAGUUGUACAGCCAAAAAAACAACUCUUGGUACUUCUGAAAUUUCCCUGCCUACCUACCAGUAUUAUAAGAUUACUCCGAUGCUUGAAGUUUCGAAUUAUUCACAAACAGCCUCAUUAACUAAAGUGCUGGAGGGGCAAUGCACUGCGAUCCUACAUAUAUCUAGUCUAGCCAUGCAUAAUCAUCAGCUAUGUUAGACUUAUUAUGUCUGUAUAAUAUUCCUCCACCUUCGCGAUGUCCCGAAUCAAUUAUAUAUGUAUCUUAUAUAAUAAUGUUGUGUGCCUCUGCUUAUGGAUUAUUCAUAGUAAACAUUAAAUUGAAUCACAAAUAGUCCCACUAUAUACCUAUACAUAUAUUUGCGUACCGCUCUUUGCUAUUUAUGAAUACAUAAA